rnacentral:lncRNA from 1 species
CAAAGACCAUAUCCCCGUGAUUUUACAGCCGUAAACUCAUGGGUGGUGUGUUCUUGGAUGCUUAAUGGUCUUACAAUGCACAAAGGAAGGUUCUAGGGUUGUUUCCAUGUCUUAGGAAGUGAUCGGGACUUGAAUUUACCUUGGAAAAGGAGUUUACGGUCUAUGAAGGUGNAAGUUUACUACCUUAAACACAUAAGUUUAGAGCCGUAAGCUCAUGUUUGUCCAUGAAUCAUGUGUUUUGGUGGUUGUAGGUUAAGCAUACAAAGUUCUAGGUCCAAUUCUAAGCCAUACAAGGUGUUAAGGGCACUUUAACACCCUUUGGAGGUGUUUAUGGUCUAAGAAGGGGUGUUUACGGUUUUGGGAGACUUUCCCAAACUGUAAACUCAAGUGUGACUCAUUUGUGUAUGUUUUGGUGCAUCUCAUGAAGGAAUAUAAGGUUCUAUGCACUCAUGGAAGCUCAUGGAAGCUUUUGGAGGUGUUUAAGGGGCAAUUUAACACCAUAAAAGGUGUUUAUGGUCUAUGAAUGAGGGUUUAUGGUCCAAGCAUGUUCUUGGGCCGUAAAAUCAUGUUUACCCCUCAAAUGUUAUGGUUUUGGUGAUCUAAGUCCAAUCUUGUAAGCCCAUACGUCAUAUCUAAGCACUAGAAGUGGUUUGGAAGGGUUUUGGGGCUUCAAAAACCCAUUUAUAGGUGUUCACGGUUUGAGGAGGUUCCUAGACCGUAAACACAAGUUCUUGGUCCUAUUUCAUGAUUUAAAUACGAAUUUGAAAGCUAAACAUGUUAUACUAUGAGCUAGGAUGGAUUUCUUACCAAAUUUGAGCUUGAAAUGGAUGAUUUUGGAUCAAAGUCGAGUUUUAGAGAGAGAGUAGAGAGAGAAAGUUACGAGGUGGUGGUAAAAAGCUAAAUUGAAGUUCACUCAUCCUUUUUAGAGAGAGAGUAGAGAGAGAAAGUUAUGAGGUGGUGGUAAAAAGCUAAAUUAAAGUUCACUCAUCCUUUAUAUAAGGCUUGAGUUUGUGGCUCGGUGGAAAUCUACCUGAUACUGACGUUAAACGAGGCUUAUGGUCGUACCCGAUUAAUUGUCGUAAUUACGACUUAGUCGUAACUAAAAUUUUUCCAAAUAAAUAACGAGGGUAUUUUCACGUGUUUCUAAUGGGUUU